CUGGCUCAGGACGAACGCUGGCGGCGUGCCUAACACAUGCAAGUCGAACGGAGUAUUUGAACGAAACCUUCGGGCGGAAUCUUUAACUUAGUGGCGGACGGGUGAGUAACGCGUGAGCAACCUGCCUUUCAGAGGGGGAUAACGUUUGGAAACGAACGCUAAUACCGCAUAAUGUAUCGAAGCCGCAUGACUUUGAUACCAAAGGAGCAAUCCGCUGAGAGAUGGGCUCGCGUCCGAUUAGCUAGUUGGUGAGGUAACGGCUCACCAAGGCGACGAUCGGUAGCCGGACUGAGAGGUUGAUCGGCCACAUUGGGACUGAGACACGGCCCAGACUCCUACGGGAGGCAGCAGUGGGGGAUAUUGGGCAAUGGGCGAAAGCCUCGACCCAGCGACGCCGCGUGAGGGAAGAAGGUCUUCGGAUUGUAAACCUCUGUUGACAGGGACGAAAGAAAUGACGGUACCUGUCGAGGAAGCCACGACUAACUACGUGCCAGCAGCUGC
rnacentral:rRNA from 1 species